rnacentral:rRNA from 1 species
UACGAAGGGGGGCUAGCGUUGCUCGGAAUCACUGGGCGUAAAGCGCACGUAGGCGGAUUGCUAAGUCAGGGGUGAAAUCCUGGAGCUCAACUCCAGAACUGCCUUUGAUACUGGCGACCUUGAGUCCGGGAGAGGUGAGUGGAACUGCGAGUGUAGAGGUGAAAUUCGUAGAUAUUCGCAAGAACACCAGUGGCGAAGGCGGCUCACUGGCCCGGUACUGACGCUGGAGGUGCGAAAGCGUGGGGAG